CGCUUCACUCGUGGGACAUAACCGCAGGAGUGAGGGGAUAGAUGUACUGUGGGGAAGAUGCUGAGAUACAUCAGGGAGUGGCGAAGAUAGUGCUCCUGCAUCGAACGACUGUCGGGU
rnacentral:sRNA from 12 species